rnacentral:lncRNA from 1 species
CGUUUGGAAGCUGCACACCUUUGACAUCUUUAGGGUCGAAGAGAUGAUGCUCCUGGAGUUCCCGCGUUAGUGCCUCUGGGUCAUGAGAGGAGUAGGCUGGAGUAAGGACUAUAAAUGCCUUUACCACCUGCAGGAAAACAAAAUACCCAGAAAAGAUCAGGCCUCGUAUAACAACUCUUUUCUCCUUAAGUGAGGCUUGAAUAAGUGCCUACAUUUACCUUUGCACCAUGAAAGUUCUACUAGUUUUUUUUGGGCACAGCCAAUGACACAAACAACAUCAAUUUUUCUUUUGCUGGCCCUUCCAGGUGUGACUAUUAGGAGGAUUGACCUUUCUGGGAUGAUUUCAAACUCCUACCUCUUUCUCAAAUUACUCCCCAUACUUGGAAUGACACCAUUUGAAGCCAACAUCGCUUCUCUUAAGAAGCAAAUAUUUUGGAGAAAAGAGGUUCAUAAACUCCUAGGGCCAUUUUCUUCCAGAUUUUCCUAAUGAGAAAGGUAGGUAGGCAUGAGUUUGAACAGGUGGGAUUGAGGAAAAUGCAGGCACUUGCAAGGGGAACUAGGUCUUUGGGGGUCUGCGUGGAUGAACAUUUGCAAUCAGCAGACCCUGAACUGCACCACUUCUGUUCCAGACAUCCCGAGGGACAUUCUGCAUCUUGGGUCUCUCUGCCCACAACUUUCCUGCAGGCUGUCUUAUGCCAGGCAGGAGGAAGUGUCCCAGACUCAAGCACAACAAACAUAGUUUCUGUUAGGAAUGGAAGGUCACUUGGAUGCUUAUUAAUUCCAGCAUUCCUAUCUGUUAACAGUAUUCUAUUAAAGGGGUAGCUCACUGUCCUUGCAUACUUCCCACAGGGAGGAAGGCCACUAUCAUUUCAUGUUCAGACAGAUAUGCUUUUAGAAAGAGCUUCCUCUUACUCUUACUACUGUAACUACGAAACAUUUGUUGGACACUUUUUUUUUUUUUUUUUUUUUUUUAAGACAGAGUCUCACCCUGUCGCCCAGGCUGGAGCUCAGUGAGGUGAUCUCGGCUCACUGCAAGCUCUGCCUCCUGGGUUCACGCCAUUCUCCUGCCUCAGCCUCCCGAGUAGCUGGGAUUAUAGGCGCCCACCGCCACGCCUGGCUAAUUUUUAGUAUUUUUAGUAGAGAUGGGGUUUCACUGUGUUAGCCAGGAUGAUCUCGAUCUCCUGACCUCGUGAUCCACCCGCCUCGGCCUCCCAAAGUGCUGGGAUUACAGACAUGAGCCACCGUGUCCGGCUUAUGUGUUGGGCACUUUCUACACACCAGACUCAGUUCUAAGCACCAUACAUGGAUUAAGUUUGAGCACACAGCCAUUUGUCACAGUCCCAGUUAACUCACGGCAUGCAGAACUAGGCAUACGUUUGAGGUAUGAUUUCUUCAGCACAUCAAUGGGACUCCACACCUCCCUUAUUAUACAUUAAUGGCUUUGGAUUUUAGAGGGGAAUCACUUGGCCAAGAAUGGCUGGCUAAAAUGCAGAUUCUCUGGGCUGCAUUCCCAGUAAUCAUGAUUUGGUAAGUCUGACUUUAGGUCUACAAAUCUAUAUUUUAAACAAGAAUCUCAGAUGAUACAGUUGCAAGCAGUCCAAGAACCAGACUUUGAGAAUCUCUCCUGUGGUCUUGAUGCUUCUGAGAAUGCAGGCUAAUGUUGCACUAACUUUCAAAAGGUAACUGUUGUGCUUUAGGAUUAUGUUGGAUGUAAGCCAGUGAAAAGUACCUAAGUCUGCCUGUUAGCUGAUCUUUCCCAUAAUAUGCAUUCCUCUGGGACCCACAGAAAGAUUUCUCCUAGCCGGGCACGGUGACUCACGCCUGUAAUCCCAGCACUUUGGGAGCCGGGGUGGGUGGAUCACCUAAGGUCAGGAGUUUAAGACCUCCAGCCUGGCCAACAAGGCAAAACCCUGUCUCUACUAAAAAUACAAAAAUUAGCCAGGUGUGGUGACAUGUGCCUGUAAUCCCAGCUACUGGGGGGGGUGCUGGGGCAGGAAGAUCACUUGAACCUGGGAGGCGGAGGUUGCAGUGAGCCAAGAUCAUGCCACUGCACUUCAGCCUGGACAACACAGCAAGACUCCAUCUCAAAAAAAAAAAAGGAUUUCUCCUAUGAAAGCCCAGCUUAUUAAAUUUGGCCCAUCUUUCUGGUAUAUGUAGGUCAUUUUGGAUACAUAUUCUAUCCCUCUUAGGUUACAGCCAUCAGCAACUAUUACUGGUGUGCUUGCUAUGUCCUCAUCUGCAAAUAGAAAAGACUUUUUAUUAGACAGGAUGGAUAACAGAGCCUGCACCUCCCCCAAGAUCUCCUGCCCCAUAGCCAGCCUCUCUGGGAUGUAGUUGUGUCCAUUUAAAAGCAAAGUGUUGGUGUUUUCCCAUUAUGUCCCUUUAGAGAGUAAUUGUAUCUCUAAAGACAUGAAGGCAACGUGUGUCUGAUGGUGGCAUUUCAACUUUGUGGCACAAGGAUGGAGGUGAAAUACAGGACAAUCUGAGCCUUCCUGCUUGUUCUGCUGGGUGCUAAUAGGUACAGAAGCAGGAGGCCAUGUUCUUGGGUGCACUGGUUACCUCUCCCCUGAUGGGGUCUGGGCUGCUGACCACAGCCGACUCCAG